rnacentral:tRNA from 1 species
UGCCUGGUGGUCCUGUGACUAAGAUUCUGCACUCUCAAUGCAGGGAGCCCAGGUUCAAUCCCUGAUCAGGGAA